UACGAAGGGGGCUAGCGUUGUUCGGAUUUACUGGGCGUAAAGCGCAUGUAGGCGGAUCGUUAAGUCGGGGGUGAAAUCCUGGAGCUCAACUCCAGAACUGCCUUCGAUACUGGCGAUCUCGAGUCCGGAAGAGGUGAGUGGAACUCCUAGUGUAGAGGUGGAAUUCGUAGAUAUUAGGAAGAACACCAGUGGCGAAGGCGGCUCACUGGUCCGGUACUGACGCUGAGGUGCGAAAGCGUGGGGAGCAAACAGG
rnacentral:rRNA from 1 species